GGUGUUGUUAAGUUGGUGUGUUACGACUUGCUUCGGCUGCUCACCACACGGAAGCAGACUGCCUGACGACCGGGUCGACUCCGGUGGUUGCGAGUCGCGUCUUCUGCGCCACAACCUAGAGACGAAGAGAGGGGACAAAACUUCAAAGCGGUAUUUCUUUUCAGAGAAACGAAGCUCUCUGUCGGUGGUAUCAAAGAGAGGCGAGGCCACCGUAUUAACGAACUAGGACCCGACGGUCGUGGCAAGGACUGGGCUCUUCUACAAGAGGAAGUUCAGGUCGCAGUUCAGCAGAAGGUCACCCUUGGUUCAAAGGUGCGGCGCGAAGUGACUCCUUAGUCUAUACGUGCUCGUCAACUUGUUCAACGUCCUCCUCGACCAUUCCCUCUUUCUCCUCUUCCAUGCACGUGACCUACUCUAUCUCCUCGAGUUCUUCUUUUCGUCAUUCUUCUUCUUCGAUUUUCCCUCAUCGCCUCUGCUAGUCAACCUGGAACGUGCGUCUAAUCUCGUCAACCUUCAACUCGACCUCCGUCGUUCCCUAAGUCUCUUCUUGUACGAUCACAGCGACCUCCGGGUUUGUUUCGUCGAACUUGUUUGGUUCCAUAGAGACCUCCUCCGGUUCGAACUCUAUCUAAGUGAAGUUCUGUUGUUGUUCUGGAACCAACGUGACAGGAGAUUAGGUUGAUCUGUCGGUCGGUCCUUAAAGUCUUCUUCCCCACAUUACAGGAAGAGGAAACGGCUAGGACGACUCCACCUCUGUAAGAGUAAUGUCGCACUGGAGUUCAACCGACAGCUUCGACUCCUCUUCACGUUCUUUCGGUACCUACUGAACCGCUAUCGGAACUGCCUUGUUUGGUGCCGUCGAUCUCUCCGUUUUUACCUCGAGAGCUACCACGUUCGAGUCAACUUUUUACGUUGUUGACUUAACCUCUUGAGUUUCCGGAGAGACCUUUAGUACCUUCUUUUCGAUGCCAACCGUGUCCUUCUCCGACGGUCUGACUUGAAACUCAGCCUACUCAACCGUCGUCGGAGUUUUCUCUUUCUCUCUCCUGAGUAGCUAACGUAGUUCUAUAAACUCCCCCUCUACUUGUUUCGUUUUCUUCUCUUACUGUUUGACAAACUUAGUGUCUCUCACUAGUCUCUACUCUUAAGGUCCGACUCCCUUUACGACUUCGUACGCCAAUUACUUCGGUUACAUCGUUUUCUUAGGAACCUCUAACGGUCCCAUCUCUUAAGAGUCGAAGUUCUUCUGUACAGACUCUUUCUCUUAUGGAAUUUCUCGUAGCACGUUCUUAUGCUCAGGAACUUCCAUUCACUCCGACGACGUGUCUCAUCGUAAUUUCUUAACUUCCUGUACUAACUACGAUACAAGUCAAGUCUCAGCCGGUUUUGGAGCCGUCUUCGUAGUGGGUAUCUACGGUUCCCUCCGCCGCCCUUUCCUUCUAUACACCGUCGUCUAUUAUACAUGAGACUACAACUUUCGAGAGGAGCAAGUUUCCUAUAGUCCUCAGGACGUUCCGUCGUUUUCUCCUGCUAAGAAUCCUUUAAACCACUGUAUUACUUCUUUUCUUUGGGAGUUUGAGUUUCACAUUAGAUCGUAGGAGUCCGUGGUCCGUCACUGAUUUAUGUUCAUAUGUGAGAUCUAAGGUAAAACAAAGAAGUUUAGGGAACAAUCAACAUUACGAACUGUUUUACUCUACAAGGUUCACGCCUCUUUGGGAAAAUAGGUAAGUCAAAAUGUCUACAUUUAAUGUCUCUUACAUUGGAUAUACGUUUUGUAUGUCCAUCACUUUUAUACUUGGGCUGUAUCAAAGAUCCCCACGAACUGUAUACG
rnacentral:rRNA from 1 species